rnacentral:rRNA from 1 species
AGAGUUUGAUCCUGGCUCAGGACGAACGCUGGCGGCGUGCCUAAUACAUGCAAGUCGAACGAAGCUUUCUUUCACCGAAUGCUUGCAUUCACCGAAAGAAAACUUAGUGGCGAACGGGUGAGUAACACGUAGGCAACCUGCCCAAAAGAGGGGGAUAACACUUGGAAACAGGUGCUAAUACCGCAUAACCAUGAACACCGCAUGAUGUUCAUGUAAAAGACGGCUUUUGCUGUCACUUUUGGAUGGGCCUGCGGCGUAUUAACUUGUUGGUGGGGUAACGGCCUACCAAGGUGAUGAUACGUAGCCGAACUGAGAGGUUGAUCGGCCACAUUGGGACUGAGACACGGCCCAAACUCCUACGGGAGGCAGCAGUAGGGAAUCUUCCACAAUGGACGAAAGUCUGAUGGAGCAACGCCGCGUGAAUGAAGAAGGCCUUCGGGUCGUAAAAUUCUGUUGUCAGAGAAGAACGUGCGUGAGAGUAACUGUUCACGUAUUGACGGUAUCUGACCAGAAAGCCACGGCUAACUACGUGCCAGCAGCCGCGGUAAUACGUAGGUGGCAAGCGUUGUCCGGAUUUAUUGGGCGUAAAGGGAACGCAGGCGGUCUUUUAAGUCUGAUGUGAAAGCCUUCGGCUUAACCGAAGUAGUGCAUUGGAAACUGGAAGACUUGAGUGCAGAAGAGGAGAGUGGAACUCCAUGUGUAGCGGUGAAAUGCGUAGAUAUAUGGAAGAACACCAGUGGCGAAAGCGGCUCUCUGGUCUGUAACUGACGCUGAGGUUCGAAAGCGUGGGUAGCAAACAGGAUUAGAUACCCUGGUAGUCCACGCCGUAAACGAUGAGUGCUAAGUGUUGGAGGGUUUCCGCCCUUCAGUGCUGCAGCUAACGCAUUAAGCACUCCGCCUGGGGAG